rnacentral:rRNA from 1 species
GUCCUUGCCGUAAACGAUGUAUACUUGGUGUAACCGGACUCAACCCUGGUUGUGCCGUAGCUAACGCGUUAAGUAUACCGCCUGGGGAGUACACUCGCAAGGGUGAAACUCAAAAGAAUUGACGGGGACCCGCACAAGCAGUGGAGCAUGUGGUUUAAUUCGAUGCAACGCGAAGAACCUUACCCAGAUUUGACAUGCAGAUGACCGCUCUAGAAAUAGAGCUUUCCUUCGGGACAUCUGCACAGGUGCUGCAUGGCUGUCGU